rnacentral:rRNA from 1 species
AUGUAAUACCAUCUUCUAUCCCAUUAGAACUCCACAGUUGAAUGCGCUCGAGCUAGAGUAGUACUGGGAUGGGUGACCACCUGGGAAGUCCUAGUGUUUUACAUG